rnacentral:rRNA from 1 species
GAUGAACGCUGGCGGCGUGCCUAAUACAUGCAAGUCGAGCGAACAGAUGAGGAGCUUGCUCCUCUGACGUUAGCGGCGGACGGGUGAGUAACACGUGGAUAACCUACCUAUAAGACUGGGAUAACUUCGGGAAACCGGAGCUAAUACCAGAUAAUAUAUUAAACCGCAUGGUUCAAUAGUGAAAGACGGUUUUGCUGUCACUUAUAGAUGGAUCCGCGCCGCAUUAGCUAGUUGGUAAGGUAACGGCUUACCAAGGCAACGAUGCGUAGCCGGCCUGAGAGGGUGAUCGGCCACACUGGAACUGAGACACGGUCCAGACUCCUACGGGAGGCAGCAGUAGGGAAUCUUCCGCAAUGGGCGAAAGCCUGACGGAGCAACGCCGCGUGAGUGAUGAAGGUCUUCGGAUCGUAAAACUCUGUUAUUAGGGAAGAACAAAUGUGUAAGUAACUAUGCACGUCUUGACGGUACCUAAUCAGAAAGCCACGGCUAACUACGUG